rnacentral:rRNA from 1 species
CGAACGGGUGAGUAACACGUGAGGAACGUGCCCUUGACUUCGGUAUAGCUCCAGGAAACUGGUGGUAAUCCCGAAUAUGAGCCUGGCCUGCAUGGGUUGGGUUGGAAAGCUUUAUGCGGUCAGGGAUCGUCUCGCGGCCUAUCAGCUUGUUGGUGGGGUAACGGCCCACCAAGGCGAUGAUCAGUAGCCGGUCUGAGAGGAUGAACGGCCACAUUGGGACUGAGACACGGCCCAGACUCCUACGGGAGGCAGCAGUGGGGAAUCUUCCGCAAUGGACGAAAGUCUGACGGAGCAACGCCGCGUGAGUGAUGACGGCCUUCGGGUUGUAAAGCUCUGUUAAUCGGGACGAAAGGCCUUCUUGCGAAUAGUUAGAAGGAUUGACGGUACCGGAAUAGAAAGCCACGGCUAACUACGUGCCAGCAGCC